GCCCAGACUCCUACGGGAGGCAGCAGUGGGGGAUAUUGCACAAUGGGGGGAACCCUGAUGCAGCGACGCCGCGUGGGUGAAGGAGCGUUUCGGCGCGUAAAGCCCUAUCGGCAGGGAAGAAGGAGGACGGUACCUGACUAAGAAGCCCCGACUAACUACGUGCCAGCAGCCGCGGGAAUACGUAGGGGGCAAGCGUUAUCCGGAUUUACUGGGUGUAAAGGGAGCGUAGACGGCAGUGCAAGUCUGGAGUGAAAGGCGGGGGCUCAACCCCCGGACUGCUCUGGAAACUGUACGGCUGGAGUGCAGGAGAGGUAAGUGGAAUUCCUAGUGUAGCGGUGAAAUGCGUAGAUAUUAGGAGGAACACCAGUGGCGAAGGCGGCUCUCUGGACUGUAACUGACACUGAGGCACGAAAGCGUGGGGAGCAAACAGGAUUAGAUACCCUAGUA
rnacentral:rRNA from 1 species